rnacentral:rRNA from 1 species
AUAUUGCGCAAUGGGCGAAAGCCUGACGCAGCCACGCCGCGUGAGUGAGGAAGGCCUUCGGGUUGUAAAGCUCUGUCAUUCGGGAAAAACGGCUAUCCGGGGAAAGUUCGGGUAGCGUGAUGGUACCGAAGAAGGAAGCACCGGCCAACUCUGUGCCAGCAGCCGCGGUAAUACAGAGGGUGCAAGCGUUGUUCGGAAUUACUGGGCGUAAAGCGUGCGUAGUCGGUAUUGAGAGUCGCGGGUGAAAUCCCAGGGCUUAACCCUGGAACUGCCUGCGAGACCUCAGUACUAGAGUGUGAGAGGGGAUAGUGGAAUACCAAGUGUAGCGGUGAAAUGCGUAGAGAUUUGGUGGAACACCGGUGGCGAAGGCGGCUAUCUGGCUCACAACUGACGAUCAGGCACGAAAGCGUGGGGAGCAAACAGG